AGAGAUGUGUGAUGACGCAUAUCAAUAAGCGGAGGAAAAGAAACUAACAAGGAUUCCCCUAGUAACGGCGAGUGAAGCGGGAAGAGCUCGAAUUUGAAAUCUUCAAGGGUUCCCCUUGACGAAUUGUAGUUUAAAGAAGUGUUUUCUGUUAGAGAGGUGGUAAAAGUUCUUUGGAAUAGGACAUCAUAGAGGGUGAGAAUCCCGUAUUUGAUCACUUUCUACUAACGUUGUGAUACACUUUCAAAGAGUCGGAUUGUUUGGGAAUGCAGUCCAAAAUGGGUGGUAAAUUUCAUCUAAAGCUAAAUAUUGGCGAGAGACCGAUAGCGAACAAGUACCGUGAGGGAAAGAUGAAAAGAACUUUGAAAAGAGAGUUAAACAGUACGUGAAAUUGUCAAAAGGGAAGCGUUUGACAGCCAGUGUUGUUUUUCCGAAAGUCAAUUACGAAUGUUUUGUUUUUGAGGAGUUAUGACUUCAUCGGCUUGCUUCUUUCUUUACGAAACUUUCUUAAUGCACUUUUCGGUUAACAAGUCAACAUCAAUUUCUUUUGUCGUAAAAGGGUAUGAGGAAGGUGGCUUUCUCUUCGGCGCAAGUGUUUAUAGCCUUGUAGCCUCUGCAAUCGGAGAGAUUGAGGUCUGCAGCGUAGAUCCUUCGGGGUUAGAUACACUUGUGCUAAGCUAUAGCCUUGUAUAGACAACUUGUUGACUAUGCUCAGUCAUGUAGCUUACUCGCUUAUGCUAUUUUACCUACGCUUAGGAUGUUGACGAUCAGCUGAGCGCG
rnacentral:rRNA from 1 species